UACGAGAGGACCGGAGUGGACGAACCUCUUGUGAUCCAGUUGUGGCGCCAGCCGCAUCGCUGGGUAGCGAAGUUCGGUCAGGAUAAACGCUGAAUGCAUAUAAGCGUGAAACCUUCCCCAAGAUGAGAUCUCCCAAGCGUAAGCUAAGAAGGGCACUGGAAGACGACCAGUUUGAUAGGACGGAUGUGUAAGCGCAGUAAUGCGUUGAGCUUACCGUUACUAAUUGCCCGUUCGGCUUGACCAU
rnacentral:rRNA from 1 species